AACAGGCUUAUCUCCCCCAAGAGUCCACAUCGACGGGGAGGUUUGGCACCUCGAUGUCGGCUCAUCACAUCCUGGGGCUGUAGUAGGUCCCAAGGGUUGGGCUGUUCGCCCAUUAAAGUGGUACGCGAGCUGGGUUCAGAACGUCGUGGGACAGUUCGGUCCCUAUCCGUCGCAGGCGUAGGAAAUUUGAGAAGACCUGUCCUUAGUACGAGAGGACCGGGAUGGACGUACCUCUGGUGUACCAGUUGUCCUGCC
rnacentral:rRNA from 1 species